GGGUGAGUAACACGUGGGCAAUCUGCCCCUAACUCUGGGAUAACUACUCGAAAGAGUAGCUAAUACCGGAUACGACACCUUGGGGCAUCCCGAGGUGUGGAAAGAAUUUCGGUCAAGGAUGAGCUCGCGGCCUAUCAGCUUGUUGGUGAGGUAAAGGCUCACCAAGGCGACGACGGGUAUCCGGCCUGAGAGGGCGACCGGACACACUGGGACUGAGACACGGCCCAGACUCC
rnacentral:rRNA from 1 species